CUGGGGCGAGGGCGGCGGGGGAGCGGGCGAGCCUGGCGGGGCGGGGAGCCGGGAGCGUGAGCUGGGAACGUGGGAGCGGCGAGCCCAGCCCGCACCGCAGGGGGCGUGUGAGCCAGAAACGGGGCCCUGUCAUUGGGAAACGGGCGCCGGCGUGAGCCGGGAGGGCGGGCGGUCGUCCUCGCCUGAGGGGCGGGCAGCUGGCCGUGGAACCCUGGGCCCUUCCGCGAGGGUCCGGCGGGAGCCGGGAGAAAGGUGCGAGGCGCCAGCGGUGGGCUUGGCCAGUGCCUGGGCCCUGCCGCCGCUGGGCUCCUAAUUGUUUUUAAUUUGAGGAUAAUGACAAUAUCCUGAUUUUCCUACCCAACACUUUGGCUUCUGAAGUGACAUUUAUCUAAAAACUGCUGCAUUGUUCCAGGUAAUGUUAACAAAACAUACAGAUUUGUCAGCAGAACUAGACUUAGAAAUGACAUGAGAGGAAGAACAAGAAAAAUCUGAUGGAGAUGAAAAUAACCAUUCACAGAUUGACCUUAAAGCAAGAAGAAGAGAAUAGAAGAAAUGCUGGCAUGUUAUAUGAAAAAAUUAGGGAGCAGUUAAGAAGAAAGGAAGACCAAUAUAGUAAAGAAGCUGAAAUGAAACAGCAACUUGAACUCACUCUCAGAGCACUAGAUGGAACUGAAGACUGAGAAAGGAUCUGAAUCAGGUUAUGGAAGUGUGACAUGACGCUCAGAAGCAGCUUUCUGGAGAAUGGAAUGCCAGAAGCUUACAGGAGGGAAUCCUGGCCAAUCACCUUGCCAAAGAAAAGCAGAAAGAAGUGGCUGAUAAAGAAAUGAACUCUUAGCAUCGAAAGGAACGAAGGGGAAGAAGCAGGAGCAGCAAGAGAAAUGGCGCUUUGAAAGCUUGCAGAGAUUGCCUGGAAGAACUGGAAGAGGUCUGGGACCUGACUUCACUUCUGCAAAGACACCUGGGGAGGUUCCCUGACAAGGACAGCUUUCAUCAGAUCUCAUGUCAAGAUUCACCUGGUGAGGUUUGCAAAGCAGUGCCUGCUGGAGCCCACCCACCAUGCAGGGAAGAGGCGGCUCCCACUAUUUCCCCAGCUCCUCUGACCAAGCAGCCUCUACCCUGCACUUCUGCCAUUUCUCCAGGGUCAGUUUCCACUUACUCAGAGUCAUACCUGAGUGCCUCUCCAACACCAGAGCCUUUCUUUCCCCUGGAAAGCCUUUCCCCCUGGCCACUGGCUGUUUCCCCUUCCCCACCAAGCCCGCCUCAUGGGAGAGCCUGCCCUCCACCUCCAGCACCCUGCUCUGCCCCAACACCAUGAGGCUCCAUGCUGAGUCUCACUCAGGGUGACUCCACGACACGCACACUGGGUACCAUCCCACACAGGUCAUCUCCACACUCCCUCUGGAGACUAGCCAUCCCAGGGAUUGUCCAUUCAAGCAGCCCUGGAUCGGCCCUGGCCUGGUGGCAGGAAGCAGCCACAGCCUGGAGCUUCUCCACCUCAACACACUUAGAGUCCCAGAAAGAAAGCCUUCCCCCCUACCCACCA